GUGAGAAGAAGAGGAGGAGGAAGGAAGCAUGCCAAUGGGGACUGGCCACGCCGUAACCCUCUUCUUUCAGUUCUCCAUCCCGUCAGGGCCCUGGGCACACACAUAACCAUGGCGUGUUUUUUCAAGCUAACAGAGCUGCGACUCAAGCCCAGAAAUGUGCUGACCUCGAUGGACUCAGUGUCAUCACCACCUUUCAGCCAGUAAGUCCUCCUGCAGCCCACAGGUGCGAGACGCUCCCUCCAGGUGAUGGUGGAAAACGUCCAGCAGAGAACCGCCACGCCCGUGUGCACGGUUCUGAUGCCAGGUCUCGGAGGCUCAAUAAAGAAAAUGAGAAGAAAGUGCCGUUUCUAGAAAGGACCAGGGGAGGACUGCAUUGCGGAAGUCAGUGCUGCAUGGAGACUCGGCCUGGCACAAAGUUGCCCAGGAGCUGGAUUCCAAGAGAGCCAUCGCCCUGGCAAGGCGUCGAUUUUCAGCCCCCAGCAUUCCCUCCUGUGAAGUCCAGUGGCCCAGCCCCGGCAGUUGUCGUGAACAUCAGCGCGUCAUGAGAACACGGGGGGCAGAGUCUAAAUGGGGGACGAUAGAUUAGAAAUCACGGUGUCACGCUGGCUUCUGUCUGAUAAAUGUCCAACGUGGCGUGGACCUCUCAUGCAGCACUAGCAAAACCGUUUCCUUGGACCACUCUUUGUCCCCAGUGUCCUUGUUGCACUCCGAGGCAGCAGCAGCCUGGUGCUCCCCUCUGCGAGCUCAGCCCUGUAGACAAGGAACGGACCGAGCCUUCUGCUGGAACAUUCCCUUCUCCUGUGCAGAGACCACAUCUCCGUGGCUUCCCAGCACAUGGACAGGAGUCCUCUUCUGAAGUGGCUUGCUGAGCGACACCGUCAGGAGCCCAGCAAAAACUGACUGAUACAGGCAAGUUACUCAGCCCCCAUUUUCUUGGCGAGAAGAGCAGUGGCUGCUGCAAAUGGCUGUGAGAAUUAAACGGGUUCAUGCAUAUAAAGCACUUAGACACUCCCUGGCACGCAGCAAGUGCUUGGUAACUGGGCUGUGUGUCAGCGUUCGCAGGUGCCCACGCAAGGAAGGACCGGCGAGCAUGCGCCCAUGCGUGAGGAGCACGGAUG